rnacentral:rRNA from 1 species
UACGUAGGGUGCGAGCGUUAAUCGGAAUUACUGGGCGUAAAGCGUGCGCAGGCGGUUUUGUAAGGCAGAUGUGAAAGCCCUGGGCUCAACCUGGGAACGGCAUUGGAAACUGGCUUACUAGAGUGCGGUAGAGGGGUGUGGAAUUCCCGGUGUAGCAGUGAAAUGCGUAGAUAUCGGGAGGAACAUCUGUGGCGAAGGCGACACCCUGGACCAGCACUGACACUGAGGCACGAAAGCGUGGGGAGCAAACAGG